rnacentral:rRNA from 1 species
AACAAACGCUGGCGGCAGGCCUAACACAUGCAAGUCGAGCGCCCUUUCGGGGGAGCGGCGGACGGGUGAGUAACGCGUGGGAAUAUGCCCUUCUCUACGGAAUAGCCUCGGGAAACUGAGAGUAAUACCGUAUACGCCCUGUGGGGGAAAGAUUUAUCGGGGAAGGAUUAGCCCGCGUUGGAUUAGGUAGUUGGUGGGGUAAUGGCCUACCAAGCCGACGAUCCAUAGCUGGUUUGAGAGGAUGAUCAGCCACACUGGGACUGAGACACGGCCCAGACUCCUACGGGAGGCAGCAGUGGGGAAUCUUAGACAAUGGGGGCAACCCUGAUCUAGCCAUGCCGCGUGAGUGAUGAAGGCCUUAGGGUUGUAAAGCUCUUUCAGCUGGGAAGAUAAUGACGGUACCAGCAGAAGAAGCCCCGGCUAACUCCGUG